rnacentral:rRNA from 1 species
AUGAACGCUAGCGACAGGCCUAACACAUGCAAGUCGAGGGGCAGCAUGAAAUUAGCUUGCUAAUUUUGAUGGCGACCGGCGCACGGGUGAGUAACACGUAUCCAACCUGCCCUUCAUAUUGGGGAUAGCCUUCCGAAAGGGAGAUUAAUACCCCCAUACUAUCGCUAUGCUGCAUGGCAUGGCGAUGAAAACUCCGGUGGUGGCGGAUGGGCAUGCGGCGCAUUAGCUAGUUGGAGGGGUAACGGCCCACCAAGGCGACGAUCGUUAGGGGUUCUGAGAGGAAGGUCCCCCACACUGGAACUGAGACACGGUCCAGACUCCUACGGGAGGCAGCAGUGAGGAAUAUUGGUCAAUGGGCGCGAGCCUGAACCAGCCAAGUAGCGUGAAGGAUGACUGCCCUACGGGUUGUAAACUUCUUUUGUUUGGGAAUAAAUGAUACUACGUGUAGUAUUUUGCAUGUACCUUACGAAUAAGCAUCGGCUAAUUCCGUG